UAGGGAAUCUUCCACAAUGGACGAAAGUCUGAUGGAGCAACGCUGCGUGAGUGAAGAAGGGUUUCGGCUCGUAAAACUCUGUUGUUGAAGAAGAACGUGCGUGAGAGUAACUGUUCACGCAGUGACGGUAUUCAACCAGAAAGUCACGGCUAACUACGUG
rnacentral:rRNA from 1 species